AGCGCGCCGUCCGCGCCCACCUGACAGCUGCUCGCUACGUUUUGUUAGCC
rnacentral:sRNA from 1 species